rnacentral:rRNA from 1 species
CAGUCGCCGCGGGAAUACGUAGGUGGCAAGCGUUGUCCGGAAUUAUUGGGCGUAAAGGGCUCGCAGGCGGUUUCUUAAGUCUGAUGUGAAAGCCCCCGGCUCAACCGGGGAGGGUCAUUGGAAACUGGGAAACUUGAGUGCAGAAGAGGAGAGUGGAAUUCCACGUGUAGCGGUGAAAUGCGUAGAGAUGUGGAGGAACACCAGUGGCGAAGGCGACUCUCUGGUCUGUAACUGACGCUGAGGAGCGAAAGCGUGGGGAGCGAACAGGAUUAGAUACCCGAGUAGUCCCUGUCUCUUAUAU